rnacentral:lncRNA from 1 species
UUUGUAACACCCCCUAACCCUAAACCGUCGCCAGAAUAGAGUUACGAGGCAUUACCGGUCAUAUCAGAUAAUUUACAAUAAUUCUUAAAUAAAUAUUAAACACAUUAAGAUAAAAUCAUAAAUUCAUAUAAUAUUUUAGUAAUUGACUUCAUUCAUUUUUUUUAUUUUUUUUUAAAUUUCGGCAGCAUUUCUGCUUGUUUUUACAUAAAACCCCCUGCAAUAAAAAACCAUUUCAUUUUCAAAUCACAACCAAUUCAUUUCACAUUCUCAAUUUCUAUUCCAAAUACUUUCUAAUCAACUUAAUCAUCAUAAUAUCAAUUUAAAUUUAACAAUAUACUAAAUCAAAUAAAUAUAGAUAAACUUCUUUCAUUAUAAUUCAUAAACUUAUAAUACUAACAUUUUCAACCGUUUAUAUUAAAAACAUAAUAACCUUUAUACACAUCCUAUGUACAUGCCACAUUACUAAAAGAAAAUAUACAUCACCAAAAAGUUUGCUAAAGUCGGGUCUGGCUUUGGAUGCUGGUUCAGUACUUGACUUCUACAACCUGCGCACGGAAACAACCGUACGCUGAGUAUGCAUAUACUCAGUGGUAUCACUAUAAUUCAAUUUAUAAUUAAUUACAGUAAACCACACACAUACUUUUCAUUACAAUUAUCACUACUAAUAAACUAUUCAAUCUUUUUAUAUUAUCAAUUAACUAUAUAUAUAAAUAUCAUUCUUAUUUCUUUAUUUCAAAUUUCACUUUUCACAUAUACUAUAUCAUUCGUGAUUGAUUUUAUCAGUAAAUUUAUUUCAUUUGUCCCUAUUAACUUGACUCGGACUCGGCGGAUACACGGAUUCCAACCAAACACACCAGUGAACAGUAAUCAAUAACGGUAGCAAUAACGGUAACAGUAACAGUAUUCAACACACAAAGUGCUGAACCUGUAACAGUAACGGUAACAGUAUUCGACACACAAAGUGCCGAGUCGGUAACAGUAACAGUAACAGUAUUCGACACACAAAGUGCCGAAUCAGUAACAGUAACAGUAGUCGGCACAUAAGUGCCUGAUCAGUAAGCCGGCAAAUACCCCGUACACUUCCAUAUCCUAUGGCAUGCCAACUAUAUCCGACUAGCCCGACUAGUUAAUAGGGUAUUUAAUUCACUUUUCAGUAUAAAUUUCCAUCUUAAUUCAGUAUCAAUUAUAAUUCCUUAUUUCAAUCGGUUUCACAGUAUUACAGUAAUUCUUUACUUCAGUAAUUUCAAAAUUCAAUGCAUUAUACAUAACAAUAUUCAAUAUUUUCACAAUUCACUCAAUAAUCAAAACAAUAUUCAGUAUUCCAUAAUUCGGUUCAGUAUCAGUUUCAAUUUCAUUACUACAUUAUAAAUUUAUUAUUUAUUAAACACUUGCCUUAAAAUACUUACCACACAUAAUUAGCAAAUUAAACACUUAAUAAUAAUAAAGUUUGAAUUAUAGUGAUACAAACCGAAAUUCCCGUGUCUAUUCCUCGUCCACUUUUUCUUUUCCUUUCCUCGUGGAUGCCUCAGGUGCGAUAUUAGCUACGAAAAAAAAUUAAGAUAAUUUUCAUAAUCAUUAGCAUAACACAACUUAAUUGCUGAAAUUUUUAUCUAACUUUUUCUUUAAUUUCAAUUUAAUCCUAAGUAAACCUAUAUAUUUUUCUUUCUCAAUUCAUACCUUCUUGCUACUCAAUUUCUUGCCAAACUCAUAUUUAACUAUCAAAUUUUUAUCAUAUUUUCAUAAUUUCGAAUUUGUUUCAAUUUAAUCCCUAAAAUUCAAAACUUAUAGCUUAGUUUACAAUUCAAUCCUUUAUUCAAUUCCAAUCAAAAUUUCUAUCAAAUAAACCCUCAAUUCCAUCAUUAUUCAACAUAAACCCUACUAAAAAAAUCUAUUAACUUCCAAAACCUCAACUUAUUUUCAACAAAACUUUGUUUUAAAACUUCUAAAACAUCUAAAUUAAAAGAAAAGGACUUGAUUAACUUACCAAAUUAAACUCUAAGCUUCAAAUCCCUAAUUUUCCCUUUUUAUUUUCUUUCUUUCUUUUUCCUUCCCCUGUUUCGAAUGACUCUCUGUUUCGUCUCUUUUUCUGUUUCUUUUUUUUUGUUCUUUUAU